rnacentral:rRNA from 1 species
CCCUUAGAUGUUCUGGGCCGCACGCGUGCUACACUGAGUGGAUCAGCGGGUCAGGUUGCGCGAAAGCGUUUCCUAAUCUUUAAAUCCGCUCGUGAUGGGGAUUGACGGUUGCAAUUUUCUGUCAUGAACGAGGAAUACCUUGUAAGCGCGGGUCAUCAUCCCGCGCUGAAUACGUCCCUGCCCUUUGUACACACCGCCCGUCGCUCCUACCGAUUGAGUGAUCCGGUGAGUAAUUCGGACUGGAGCAGUGUUCAGUUCCUGAACGUUGCAUCGGAAAGUUUAGCAAACCUUAUCACUUAGAGGAAGGAGAAGUCGUAACA